GGCGCGGUCAAAUGGAUGGUUGUGUGGAGAGUGAAGGUUUUGUGUGUGUGUUUUUUAAACUUUUGUUGGCUCCCAAAAAAUAAAAACAGAUUUGCCAGGGAACAAACUUGGAUCUGGUAUCCUGUUGUUGCACUUUUUUGAGAGAACAAACAAGUCUGGAAAAAUCUUUGACCUCUUUUCCUUUUUUUCUUCUUCCUUUGUCUUCAAAGAGCCUUCUGUAGCCUAUGAUAGGCUACAGAUGCAGCUCUACUAUGAUAGCUCUUCUAAGCCAAAAGUGAGAAGUCUUCAGUGUUAUCCAAACAAUGUGUAAAAUUAUCUUCCACCUUCUUUGACCAACCACUCAGGAAUGGCUUUUUAUGUGUCAGCUACAGCCAAUGGGUACCAACCGUCCAAAAACUUGUUUCCUGGCAUACCUCCUACUUGUAUUCGCCAGAUGAUGGAAGUUGUCCUUCUCUUUUGAUGAUCUUGGCCACAAGUGGUGUCCCAUAGAUUAACCAUAGUUCAUAAUUGUUGGAAUGUGGUGUGUAAUGCCAUGUGGUGGAGUGGGGAAACAGGGGGCAUAAUUAAUGUAACAAUAGCAUAGGCUGCACAUGGUACAUUUGAUGAAAUAGUCUUAGCAGUUAUUUCUGUGACUCAUCCAAAACUCAAGGGGGAGAAGCACACUGGCUGAAGCCACAGUGGUACCAUUUGCUCUAUGCUUAAUUCCUCAGACAAAAAGCACUGGGACUCAAAUAUGUCCAGGAGACCCUAAGUAUAAAGGGUUGGUUGUUGCUGCCCCAUGAUUGAGGUACAUUCUGCACAUGCUUAGAGGCACUAUUGUCUUCAUGAUGUUUUAGCAUGUCAUUGAGAACUGUUUCUGGGAAUUUAAGCCAUGCUCCAAAUCAGCUGUGUCAUGGAACACAUCCCUUUUGGGGAUGGAUUUGGUGGGUGUUUGCUCUCAAAUGACUAAAAGACGUUAAUAGUAAACCUAAGAAAAGCCACUCUAUAUUUCUAUGUGAGCCCUCAUUUUUACUGAGAACAGCACCUGUUGGUUGGCACCUUGUGCUUGGCCUUCACCUAUGUCCUCCCAACAAAACAAUGUCAUCAGUGCCUGACUUUAAAAAACCCUUUAACUGAGGCCUGAAACAGUGUGUUGGGGCAGAACGGAAAGAUCUAACAUGGCUUGGAGAUACCUGGGAUGGAAAUAUUACUUGUGCAAGCUGCUUCUUUAGCAAGCCCCUCUAAGAGAGAGAGAGGAACUACUUUUUUGAGCUUUUUUGAGCUUGCUUUUUGUAUUCCGAAUCCUUAGCAUCUUUGAGUUUUGUCUUUUUGUUCGUGGUCUUACUACUGCUGUGCAACUGAAAACCUCUGCUUAAGUCAUACUGUAUGCCUUGACAUGUCAAUGUGUGAGUGCUGAUUUUUUUAUUUUUAAUAAUUGGCAAUGAAGUGAUAUUAGAGGAGUAGCAAAACCCACUUCUUUUUUUAAAAAUUUGUCUGAACAGGUUAGCCUAGUCUAAUACCAUAGGAGUUUAUUUUAUUGGGAGAGGAAAAGCCUAAGUAGAGAUAAAAUAUACGUUCUUAGCAGGCACAUAUAUCUCCUAAUCAAAAACAUCAUAUCUGUGACAACCACAUGAUAUCUAGUAUCUACUGUAUAAAAAGGGUUGCAGAAAGGAAAAUGCAGCAUUAAUUGCGUUUAUGUUUGCUUCACAAGUAAUAAAUACAAACUUGCAAUA